rnacentral:lncRNA from 1 species
AGAUAUAUUAACUAGACACAUGUGACUUUUGUACUAUAUUAUUCAAAAUGGCCAAAGCUGCGGCCUCGACUUGUGAAAUCUGUACUGGCGGACCAGGUGAACAUUACUGUCAGCAGUGUGAUCAGUUAUUUUGCGUAAGCUGUAAAUUAUCACAUUUACGCGCGAAAUCUUGUAAAAACCACACGUUUUUAAGCGGACCAAAUA